GUCCGGGUGGCGGAACGGCAGACGCGCUAGCUUGAGGUGCUAGUCCCUGAAUAAGGGGUAGGGGUUCAAGUCCCCUUUCGGACA
rnacentral:tRNA from 1 species